rnacentral:misc_RNA from 1 species
AACACCAUUACAUACUCCACUCUUUUAGUGGCAAGUGAAAAAAAGGAUGACCUGGAUGUUGGCCUCAUGCUUCUUUCUCAUGCUAAAAAAGAUGGUGUUGCCCCAAACCUUGUUAUGUGCAGAUGUCUUCUUGCUAUGUGCUCAAGGAGAUUCCAGAAAGCUUGUACACUUGGUGAGCCUGUCUUGUCUAAUAACUCUGGUCGCCUGCAGCUUGACAGUAAAUGGACAUCGUUGGCCUUAAUGGUCUACAGGGAAA